GCCUGGGGGUGUAGGAUGGCCUGGUGGUGGAGGAGGAGGACCUGCUGGGGUUCCAGGAGGUACGGGGACUCUUGGAAAGCCUAGACAACCAGGGACUGGAGGGACUUGGAGCAUUUCUUCAAAGUAUAAAAGCUACCCAGUGAAGGUCAGUGUGAACAACAAACCAGAUGGGGCAGUCUACCGCCCAAGCACCAAGCCCAUCUCCCUCCCAGAGGGCAAAGGACAACUCUCCAUCCCCAAGGUCAUUUGUACCUUUCCUGCCACGGAUGGAGAUUCAGGAGAACAGGCCCAGAAUGUCAGGUAUGCAAAAGGUUAUGACCCUGGAAACUGGUUCACCAUUGAUGAAGAGACAGCUGAAAUCACACUCAAUAAGAUGCCAGACCGGGAGUCUCCGUAUGUGGUGAAUGGGACCUACCUGGCCAAGAUUCUCUGUAUGACAAAUGACAUGCCCACCCAGACAGCCACGGGGACCAUUGCAGUGCAUGUGGAGGACACUAAUGACAACUGCCCCACGCUCACCAGCCACGUGCAGUACCUGUGCAGUGACACUAAGGAACAGAUGCAGUCAGGGGUGACAUCCAGCAAGAAGUCAUCCGAACUGGGAGGAGCCGCAGUGGGAGGGAUGCUGUUAGGCCUCCUCGCACUCCUGUUGGUCCCAUUGAUGGCUUUGUUCUGCUCCUGUGGAGGAACCAGUGGGCUUACAGGAGGCUUCACUGACCUGCCCUUUGACGGCAAGACUCAUCUCAUCUCCUAUCACACCGAGGGAAAGGGAGAGGACCGGGAGGUUCCUCUGAUGAGUGUUCCGGUACUAAUCUCCAAAGUAAUUCCAGUUACUGCUUCCGCAAACAUGGCUACCACCACCAUGGUGAGCAGGCAGAUGCAGGAGAAUGCAUUCGGAGGCUUUUAUGACUAUGAUGAGCCAGAGAUGGGGAACAUGGACUCCAGUGCCCAUUGGGAGUAUACUUCAGAUCUGCCGGAGAUGAGAGAGGAGGAUCAGCUCUCAUUCAUGGCACUACCAGACACCUUUCUGGACCAUUACUUCUCACAGAAAGCAGAGCAUACAGCAGUGACUUCUUGUCCGAAGGACAAUCUGUUGGUGUAUGAAUACGAGGGACAGGGAUCUCCCGCUAACUCUGUGGGCUGCUGCAGCCUCCUCGAGUCUGAGGAAUGACCUCCAGUUUCUUGACGACUUGGGGUCAAAGUUCGCCACCCUCGCCCAGAUCUGUGGAUACUCCAAAGUCACAAGCCCAAAAAUGGACCAUCAGAUCACACCUCCCAUGUCAGAAAUGGACACCAGUAUCAUCAUGACAACCGAUGUUAAAAAACAGACAAGGGAGUCCAGAUCCUCAAGCAUCAGCAACCACGAGGCACCACCUGUGCGCAUGGACAGGAGCGUCAGCUUUGUGGAGGAACACAGCCCACCCCCACUUCCCAGGAUGCAACUGUGCGAGACCAUGGCCAUGCCCACCCAGACUGUGUUGGUGCAGCAGCAGCCCCUGUACUACAUGGUGGAGCCGCAGGUUCAGAGCAGAGUGCUGCUGGCCGAGAGGCCCCCAGUGGGUCUGGGUCAGGGAGUGAUCCUGGUGAACAGGAGCCAGGCAGCCACAGAGAGGGUGCUGCUGCAGAGGGGAGGGCUAGUGCAGGGAGGAGGUCUAAUGCAGGGAGGAGGUCUAGUGCAGGGAGGAGGUCUAGUGCAGGGAGGAGGUCUAUUGCAAGGAAGAGGUCUGCUGCAGGGAGGAGGUUUAGUGCAGAGAGAAGGUCUGCUGCAGGGAAGAGGUCUAGUGCAGGGAGGAGGUCUAGUGCAGGGAGGUCUAAUGCAGGGAGGAGGUCUAGUGCAGGGAGGUCUAAUGCAGGGAGGAGGUCUAGUACAAGGGGGAGGGCUGCUGCAGGGGGGACGUCUAGUGCUGCAGCAGGGCAGGCACGUUCAAGGGGCUCAGGGGAUGCUAAUACAAAAUGGUCCCAUGUUACAGGGAGUCAGCACCCCAACUAGCCCCACGCUACUUUUUCAGGGUGGUCAUACCUUGGUUCAACACACUGAUGGGUCACAACGUGUGGUGCUCGUGCAAAGGCAGCCUGGCGACAUAGCACAGAUGCCAGGCCAGACAUUCACCCCUGCACCCCAGAAGAUGCAUAUGCCCAGACAACAGAGUGUGGUCCUAGUGGACAAGCAGGUAGGGAUGAAGCAAGAUGCCCCAGGAAGUGUCAGAACACUGUGGCCAACAAGUCAUUCAAGUCAUUCAAGUGAAAGUCUAACAAUGCCAGCCUAUGAAAGUGGUCAGAUGAGCAGUGAGAGAGUUAACAUGGCACAAAGCAACAUAACCCAUGUUCCAGUACCACAACCCCAGCAACCCCUUUUCAGCACAGGGUUCCUUGAGGGGUUGGGGGGUCUGGGCCCAGGUCCGGCCCCAGCAGGACACCCGAUGAGCAUACGUGUAGAGGAGGUAAUUUCUGUUGCUACCAUUCCAAAAGUUCCUCAUAUAGCACCAAUAACUUCACAGAUUGAGACUGGGCUGCAGAAGAAAGUGUUUUUUGAGGAAACUGUUGUGGAUUUGACCACAGACACAUCCCAACAAGAGGAGGUCUCAGUGGAGAUCCAGGGGAGCGUUUUGGCUGAGGAACAUGUGGCAGUGGAGGUUGAGUCUUACAACCCUGAACCUCACCUGAAGAUAGACAGCGUGGAAAAAGCCACAGUUGUGCCAGAAGAUCUGUCUGAUGACCUUGGUGAGCCUGAUGGUGACGCCACUGUAGACCAUGGGGAAAGCCUGCCUGUGUCCUCACAGGACGUGACCGUAUCAUCACAAAUGUCAGUGACUGAGGACCCUACCCAACACAAUGUCCCUAAGGUGGCAGAGGGGAAUUUAACAGGAGCAAUACUUGGAAACACAGAUUCUGGGUGGACAGUGGAUCACUAUUCAUCUGACACAACUCUUCUCUCUGUACCUGAGGUAUCCCCAGGUGACUCUGACAUCAUUGAUCUGGUAGCAGACCAGAUCAGUGCUGGUCACUCAUUGCAGUGCGAUUCAGGAAUGGUGGAUGAUACAACCUCUCUGUCAGUGGGUGAAUUGGUGUCUUCAACAAACGACACACAUGCUGAGGAGAUUGAAAAUAAGGUAUCCAGUAUAUCACUUGAAAACACUCCUGAAGCAGAAGAGUUAGGCCCUGGGGAGGGAGAAGCAAGCUAUGUCGAUGGACCCACAGAAUUAACUCCUACGGUAGACAUUCCAGUUUCACUUCAAGAGAUAACAGAUGUUUCAGAGACUGAACUUCAAUCUCGUACCCUGGAGCUGGAUAUAGACAAGAGCCCCGGCCCAGAGGUAUCUCUGGAAACCUUCCAGGGUACUGACCCAGCAGAGAUAGAAGCUUUGGAGGUCACUCUCCUACAAAUGCAGCAGGUUGCAAUCGGUCAAGAGUUGGUAAGGACAGCCUCGCCGUCAGCUGCACCCCAUGACCAAAUCACCACACUUGACCAGGAGAACUUGGAGGAGGGCAAAGAUGUUUGCAUAGAGGGUGAGAGUGUGAUUUUGAGUCCGGUAGUGACCUCUAUGUCUGAGAUGAGUGAGGUAACUGCAAAUGAAUCUCUGGAGCCCAAUGCUGUGGAGAGGCAUACAAUAGAUCCAGCCUAUGUGGAGGAAGAGAGUGAGGUGGAAAUGGUAAUAGAAUACGCUGGACAAAUGCCAGAGGGUGAAACAUCUGGACAAGAUGUGAAGGAACAUCUGGAUCUGCUGAGUGAGGAUGACUCUAACAUGGACAUCCCAGAAGCAGACAAGCCAAUGCAAGCAGAGAUGGAACCCCUAAGGGAAGCUGAGCAGGACUUACAGGGUGGAUCUUUGGAGGUCUCUGAAAAUCAAUCAGAAAGGAAUGAAGAGGAACAGGAGCCCAUAAACAAAGGGGACAUGUCUGAUGCAGGGAGCAUGGAGGUACAGUGCUCCACAGCCCAUUCAGACCAAACAGAGGGAGGUCUAGUACAGGGGGGAGGUCUAGUGCAGGGAGGAGGUCUAAUGCAGGGAGGGCUACUGCAAGGAGGAGGUCUAGUGCAGGGAGGAGGUCUGGUGCAGGGAGGAGGUCUAGUGCAGGGAGGAGGUCUAGUGCAGGGAGGAGGUCUGGUGC
ensembl:lncRNA